CCUACGGGGGGCAGCAGUGGGGAAUUUUGGACAAUGGGGGCAACCCUGAUCCAGCCAUGCCGCGUGCGGGAAGAAGGCCUUCGGGUUGUAAACCGCUUUUGUCAGGGAAGAAAUCUUCCGAGCUAAUACCUUGGGAGGAUGACGGUACCUGAAGAAUAAGCACCGGCUAACUACGUGCCAGCAGCCGCGGUAAUACGUAGGGUGCAAGCUUGACGCGGAAUUACUGGGGGUAAAUCGUGCACAGGCGGUUGAAAUCCCCGGGCUUAACCUGGGAACUGCACUUGUGACUGUACGGCUGGAGUACGGCAGAGGGGGAUGGAAUUCCGCGUGUAGCAGUGAAAUGCGUAGAUAUGCGGAGGAACACCGAUGGCGAAGGCAGUCCCCUGGGCCUGUACUGACGCUCAUGCACGAAAGCGUGGGGAGCAAACAGGAUUAGAUACCCCAGUAGUC
rnacentral:rRNA from 1 species